CAGGUAUCAAAAGCUGGAUUGGUUGUAAAGCAAUGUACAUGCAACAAAUCGCUUGAAUUACUGAUUUUUCCUUGGAAAAUAAAAUGUCCCAGCAGUAAAUCAGGUGUAUGAGCCUGAUCAAUCAUUAUAUUUCCCUUUUCGCUAAAGGAUAUUGCACUAGAGGUAGUAAGACUGGAAUUCGCCUUCGCACAAUUACAAAACCCUUCGAUGUUCGACAGACAACAACUUAAAAGCAAUUGAUGCAGAAGCCUCGCAGAUACUAAAUGUGCCUCUUUCAUGAACAACAUAUUCAACAUGUCUGCUGUCUUGAUCAACAAGUUUGGAAGCAUUGGCUUCUGCUGGUCUCCCACCAAGCUCCAUGGAAUUCUUAAGAUGGUUCUUCUCAUUAUAGUGUUUCUUUGCACUUCCUGCACUGAAAAUCUUGUCACUACUUUUUAGAUGUUCUUUCUGAAGUUGCGAUGUAUUGCAUAUCAAAAUUAUUUUGCUCAUGAAAUGUAGAGUUUUGGAAGAUGUCUUUAUCAAUAUUAUUCA